UCAUUUCCCUCACACGAGACAUGUAAUCAACUCGCAAAGAUAAACACUUCCACAUGCAUGCAGUCUACACAUAUAGCUCUACUAUAUAGAGUGAAAUUUUUAUUAUACAUAAUACAUGCAUUUUAAGUGUUAUAAAAUUCACAUAAAUCCUAUUUAGCAUGGAUUUGAAAUCAUUUUGACGUUACGACAAGCAUAUAACACAUAGGGGCCAUUUUGCCCCGGUCUCAUGAAGCCAAACCCACCGAGGUUACCGCAACCCUUCGUUUGCUCCGACGAAGGUGCCCACUAGCCUCCUAGUAUCCUAAAAGUAUCAAAGAGUGAGACCAAAGAAGCAAACGAACAACUAAGGGGUCGAUCAAAAGCCAACACAAGAAAAGGGGGAAAACUCACCAAGUGCGAAGGUACUCCUCUCAAUCUCCGAAUGGGAGUAAGGGUCCUUCCAAUCCAACCUAUACAAAGGUUCUAAACCCAUCAAUUUGGUUCCAAAGCCCCCAAAUCGAAAAUCUCCAAAUCUAACCCUAAAAUCCAAAAUCUAGGAUUUCUACCAACAUAAAGCAUAAAGCUCUAAUUUAGAGGAAGGAAAUUAACCACUAACCUCUAGGAUGUUUCAAACCAAGCUCAAAGUCCACAAGCUCCCAAGAUCUUUCCUCAAGCAAGCUCCAACCACGAGCUCCAAGCUUCUAAUGGUGAGAAGAGAGGGAAAGGGAGAUGUCCAAAGUCCUCCAAUGCUUGCUCUCCUUCCUCUCCUUCUUCUUCUCCUUCUUCUUCUCUUUCUAGAGGGUGAGAGAGAGUGUGAGGGAGAGGAAUAAGGGAAAGAAAGAGGGGAGAUACUAUAAAACCCCCUCACAAGCAACAAAAUCCAACAAGCCCCCUCAACUCAACAACUUACGCACUGCCUGGUCUGGGCAGUUUUUGGGUAGAGGGACCGGUCUCUCCCUCCUAAGGACUAGUCCCUCAGGACCUUCUUGCAGUCACGCGUACGGAAACCAGUCUCCCUGGCCAGGGGACCGGUUGCAUCAGCCGACUGCCGUAACCAAGCUACGAGGGACCGGUCUCUCCUACCAGGGACCGGUCCCCGAGAGCUAAGCUCUUAGGACAAAAUUGAAAAAUCUUGAAACGCGAGCCAUGGGUCGGAACACCGUCAACGACCCUCCAGAAAAUGUGGAAAGGCUCAGAACCCCAAAUCAAACACUCGAACCGCGUAAUUUGCAAAGGUCCAGUGUGUUACAUUCACCCCUCCUAAAAAGGAGUUUCGUCCGCGAAACUCAAAACCAACCACAUAUCUCAAGACUCCAUCUGAAAAAGAUGGGGAUAGCGCUCCUGCAAAGCGCUCUUCCAGCUCCCACGUGGCCUCCCGCUCCCCGUGGUUGCUCCAAAGAAUCUUCACAUACGGAAUGUCCCGAUUCCGCAGUUUCCGCACCUCGCGAGCCAAGAUCCUCAUUGGUUGCUUCUCGAAGCUCAGAUCAUCUCGCAACUCCACAGGUGUAGCAUCCAACACAUGAGUCGGGUCAAAGAUGUACUUCCGAAGGAUCGAUACAUGAAAGACAUUGUGCACGCCCGAUAGGUUCGGUGGUAGAGCAAGUCGAUACGCUACCGAACCUACCCGCUCCAAGAUCUCAUACGGUCUAAUAAACCGGAGGCUCAACUUACCCCGAAUCCCAAAUCUCUUGAUCCCUCUAGUUGGCGAGACCUUCAAGAACACAUGGUCUCCAACUUGGAAAUCCAAGUCUCGCCGUCGUCGAUCGGCGUAGCUCCUCUGUCUGCUCUGUGCCAUCAAAAGUCGCUCCCGAGCAAUACGAACCUUGUCCUCAAUUUCUUGGAGCACAUCAGGCCCUAGAGCCAAUCUCUCGCCCGCUUCACUCUAAUGAAGUGGCGAUCUACACUUCCGUCCAUAAAGUGCUUCAAAGGGCGCCAUCUUGAUGCUUACUUGAUAACUGAUGUUAUAAGAAAACUCUGCCAUCGGUAGAUGCUGCGACCAUCCUCCCUGGAAGUCUAUCACACAUACUCAGAGCAUAUCCUCUAAGGUCUAAAUGGUGCGCUCCGACUGCCCAUCACUCUACGGGUGGAAAGCAGUGCUGAAAUCCAAUCGAGUGCCUUAGGCGUCCUGCAGACUCCUCCAAAAGUGAGACACAAAUUGGGUGUCUCGAUCAGAUACAAUCGAAGUAGGCACUCCAUGAAGUCGCACAAUCUCAUCAAGAUACACUUGUGCGAGCUUCUCUCCAGUCCAAGUAGUAUGAAUAGGUAUGAAGUGUGCUGACUUCGUCAACCUUUCCACGAUCACAUAAAUAGCAUCAUGCCCGGCCUGAGAGCGAGUCAAUCCAGUCACGAAAUUCAUGGUGAUCUUCUCCCACUUCCACACGGGAAUAGGCAAACUCUGAAGUUUUUCCGCGGGUAAUCGGUACUCAGCUUUUACUUGUUGGCAAGUUAAACAUCUAGCAACAAACUCACCAACAUUCUUUUUCAUCCCGGGCCACCAAUAAAGUAACUUUAAAUCUUUGUACAUCUUGGUGCCUCCCGGAUGUAUAGCAUAAGGUGCCCGGUGCGCUUCUUGAAGAAUAUCUUCUUUAAGUCUCGAAUCCGCCGGUACACAUAACAGUCCACGAAAACGCAACAAUCCCUGAUCCUCUACAAGGAAAUCACCGGUGCAACCAUCAACCAUUUUGUCUCUAAUCUUUUGCAAUUCCACAUCGGAAACUUGCUUUUCUUUGAUUCUAUCAAAUAGUAUAGGUUGCACUACCAAAGUCAUCAACCUCAAGGGUGUAUCAGGUGUCACCACUUCCAACUCUAACCGCUUCAUCUGCUCGAUCAACUGUGGUUGAGUAACAACAUGUAUCGCUAAGUUUUCUAUCGAUUUCCGAAUUAGCGCAUCUGCCACCACGUUAGCCUUGCCCGAGUGGUAAAGAAUCGUCAGAUCAUAAUCCUUGAGUAACUCCAACCAUCUGCGCUGCCUCAAGUUCAACUCCUUCCGAGUGAAUAAAUAUUUCAAGCUCUUGUGAUCCGUGUAUACUUCACACCGCUCGCCAUAUAAAUAGUGGCGCCAUAACUUCAAUGCGAAGACUAUGGCCGCCAACUCCAAAUCAUGUGUAGGAUAGUUUCUUUCAUAUUCCUUCAAUUGGCGAGAAGCAUACGCGAUCACCUUACUAUCUUGCAUCAAAACGCAACCAAAUCCAUUAAAUGAAGCAUCACUAUAUACCACAUACCCUACUCCAGCAACCAGCAGGGUUAGGAUCGGGGCGGUCGUCAAUUUUUGCUUCAACUCUUGGAAGCUUCUCUCGCACGCAUCGUUCCAAAUGAACUUGACGCUUUAUGCGUGAGCCUCGUGAGGGGAGUAGACAAUUUAGCAAACCCCUCAACAAAUCUCCGGUAGUAACCGGCCAAUCCAAGAAAGCUCCGUAUCUCCGUGACGCUCUUCAGUCUCGGCCAAUCCUUGAUAGCCUCAAUCUUCUUGGGAUUCAUGGCUAUACCCGAUCCCGAAAUCAGAUGUUCAAGGAAAGCUACCACACGAAGCCAAAAUUCACACUUUUUCAACUUGGCAUAAAGCUCCUUUUUUCGAAGUAUUUGAAGUACAAGCCUCAAAUGUUCCUCGUGAUCUGCAUCACUUCGGGAAUAAAUCAAGAUAUUGUCGAUGAACACCACGACGAACCUGUCUAAAUAAGGCUUGAAAACAUGGUUCAUUAGAUCCAUAAAAGCUGUUGGGGCGUUAGUAAGCCCGAACAGCAUAACAGUGAACUCAUAAUGUCCAUACUGUGUUCUAAAAGCUGUCUUCGAUACAUCCUCAGGUUUGAUCUUUAAUUGGUGGUAUCCCAACUGCAAGUCUAUCUUGGAAUACACACUCGAUCCUUGAAGCUGAUCAAAUAAGCCGUCGAUCCUCGGCAAUGGACACUUACUCUUGGUCGUGACUUUAUUAAGCUCACGAUAAUCCACACAUAGGCGAAGUGAUCUGUCCUUCUUCUUGAUGAAUAAAACUAGCGCUCCCCAAGGCGAGACGCUCGGUCGAAUGAAGCUUUUGUCCAGAAGAUCCUGUAGCUGUGCCCUCAGCCCUUCAGCUCCGCCGGUGCCAUCCUAUAGAGCGCCUUUAAGAUCGGGGUAGGCCUAGGAACGAAAUCCACCACAAACUCAAUCUCCAUAUCAGGGGGCAUACCCGGUAGCUCAGCUGGAAACACAUCCUGAAACUCCCGCACCACCGAGAUAUCCCCAAUUCUAGGGGUGUCAUCAUCGCCCCUCACCACAACACUAGCCAAAUAGGCUAUGCAGCCUCUGCUGAUCAGCUGCCUAGCUCGAGACGAGCUGAUCGUCAUCGCAAAUAGCGAACUCUGGCAUCCUCUAAAAAUCACUUCAGUCUGCCCCGGUUCUCUACAAGUAACCGUGCGAUUCUUGCAAUCGAUCGUGGCAUGAUACUUGGUCAACCAAUCCAUGCCCAAGACCACAUCAAAAUCCCCCAGCUUGCGCAAAGCUAGCAAGUCCACAGGCAUAAUCCAAUCCCCUACCCGAACAGGGCAACUAAGGCAAAACUCUCGAAUAUGCAGAGUGUGGUCGGGUACUACAACCUGUCCCGGAUGUAACAAAGAAACCAACGGGAUGGCAUGCAACUCGGCAAACAGCCGAUCUAUGAAUGAAUGUGAUGCACCAGUAUCAAAUAAUGCACGAACUCGAAUGCCAUCAAGUAAAAUGAUACCUGCAACCACAUUCUCGGCUGCUGCCGCCUCUUCGGUCUGAGUGGCAUACAUGCGCCUACUCGGGGCCUGUCGAGAUCCCUCGCUCUGACGCUGGACGGAUGACCGCCCAGGCUGGUACUGUGCCGAUGGAGUCCCCUGGCUAGCGGCUGGUAGAGCCGGUGCCGAUGCAGUCGACGGUGCCGGUGAUGAACCCCUCGGGCACUCGGUCCAGAUGUGGCCCUCCUGGCCACACAGGUAGCACCUGCCUGCCCGCUGUGGACACUGUGGUGGAAAGUGGGGACCACCACAGAUCACACACUGGGGAGGCCGGCGACGAUCGGUACCGCCUCGCUAAGCUGUCGAGCCGCGUCCACGCUGCUGGCUCCUAGGGUGCUUCGGCGGCCUCCUAGAGUGCGUCUGACUUGCACCCUCAGCCGUGGGCCUUUUGCCCUUACCCUUGUCCAUGCCUUCUCGCCGCUCUUGCAAAUCCGCCGCGCCGCUCUCCAUGAUGAGCGCGCGGUUCACCACCACCCUGUAGGUUUGGAGGUUAGAGGAUUGCACAAACCGGAAGAUCGACGGUCGCAAUCUACGCUCAAAGAUACGGGCCUUGUCCUCGUCGUCCCACACGACGAAAGGCACGCAGUGAAGAAGCCGAGAAAACUCCCUCUCAUACUCGGCUACAAUUCUGUCUCCUUGGCGCAAGUUGCGCAAGUCCUGCUCCAUCUUCCUCUUGAUGCUAUCAAGGAAGUAGUGCGCCAAUAGAAGCUCCUUGAACUUCUUCCAAGAAAUAGCCGCCAAAUCCAUGCUGGGGUUCUCCUGAAUAUCCAACCACCAAUGGUAGGCCUCGCCGUCCAAGUGAUGUGUGGCGAGCCAAACUCGAUCCCUCUCCUCCACGAAGGUGUCGCGGAAGAGCUUCUCCAUGUGCAUCAACCACUUCUCCAUGAUCUAGUGGUCGACCUUCUCUCAGUCGAAGACCCGGGGACUGCACCUCCUGAACUCGUUGAGGCGCUCCAUCAGUCGGUCCCGCUCCUCUCCAACAGCUGUCGCGGGGAAAGCCGCCCCCGCUCGAGGCACCUGAGCUGGUGGUGUCGCAAUCACCUCCUCCCGUGGCGCUACCGCAGGUGUCGUCCGAGAUGCGUCGAGGACGGGGGACGACCCCCUGGGUGCAACCACCUCCACAGGCGCGGGUGGUGUAGGAACUUGAGCCUCCCGGGCCUCCGCCUGCUGCAGUAGGAGGUCCUCCAGACGCUUCAUCCACGCCUCCUGUCAGCGCGCUGCCUUCGUCUGCUGUGCCACCAUGUCAGUGAGGGCCGCAUGCUGGCCUUUCAACUCACGGACCUCACCGGAUCCGGAGGUACCGGAGGUCUCGACCUCCUCCAAGUAUGUCGCAUUAUCCGCUCCGGCAGAUUGAGAGCGAGUGAUCGGCAUCUCACUACAACAUCAUAAAAGCGCAAGUUAGUAACCCACACUAUCGAAUCCCCGCUCAAGAAGAUUAUACUCAAAUCAUGUGAAAGUAAGGAAGUGUUCUUCACUACUAACUCCCGAUGUUAUAUUGUCGGCCGCCAACGUAACCCUCCGCGAAGUUAGAAGCUAUACACUUCGGUUUAACUUCACUUUCUAGAGUUAUCAAAGACACCCAAUUAUGAUACUUUCGCUUACAAAUCAAAUAGACCUCGUCUCUCAUGAGCCUAUUUCCUAUAGUCCAACCGGCCUAAGGUCUGUUUGGUCCACUAAGAUUCAACCGUAGGCUCUGAUACAAAAAUAAUCUGUCACGCCGCGGAGCCCAGCGGAAGCCCGCCCGACACGUGUCCAGACCCGCUAUAUGUCUAAAACAUAUAAGGCGUCUACGAUAAAGCAAUAAUUAAAACAAUAAUACAAGAGAUAUAGCGAUAUCAGAGUAAGGUACUACUAGAUUCUACAACAGGAGAGUACAACAAAAGCUAAUAUCCACUAAAUAAAACAUAAAGUAGAACAACAAAAAUCCGAGUACAAGUGCUAUAAGUGGUACAAUGGUGGUCUCUAUACAUGAUAAUAAAACUCUCUCUCACCAAAAGACCCAAAAAGAGAGUAGACCACCUAGGAGCAAAAGCAAGCUCUGCGCUAACUAGCUAUAUGACUCCCUUGCUGCGAUCCCGUGCCUCCGCCAGUACUGAAGGCUCUGAAAAAGACAUCAAAUAGAGAGCGUGAGAACUUUUAAAUAAUAGUUCCCAGUGGGCAAUUACUGACUUCAGUGAAAAGCGCCAUUAGGCCCAAAACUAAGCAAGUGAGUAGAUAAGUAAAAGCAAUAUGAACGACAAAUAAAUGAACAUGAAUACUUGCUACCACAUGAAGUCUCUACUAAGCAUGAAAUUGCAUAAGUAAGAAAGCUAUUCUAUACAUGAAUAGGCGGAAAUAUACAACCAACAUGAUGUCUAUAACGAAAUAGUAAAAUGUCAAUGUUUACUAUUCUACUCAAUGUCCACAUGGCAUGUUAACUAUUUAAAGUUCUAAUCUCGUAAGACCAACCCGUAGGCUGUCUGGCCUGAAGACCCACCCAUAGGCUGUCUGGCCAGUGCCGUAUCUAAUGGCCCCGUGGUAGUCAACAUCCCCACUCUAGGAAUGAGUCUUGCCUACAGCAAUCCACUUCGGCGCCCAAUCCCGCAUGGCGAGUAUGUAUCGCGAUGGCUAUCUCCGAAGUGCCGGCUUGUAGGAAGCGACCCUCACAAGCAUGUGCGAAUGAGCACAAAGGCAAGUAAACAUAUAAGUCUGUCUCAAGUCUCAAAUCAUCAUGUCUAAAAGAUGAAAAUAUAACAUAUGUCUCAAUGGCCUAUCAUUAUGUCAUUGUGUCUAAAACACAGAAUAUAGUUGAUGUCACGAUGGCCUAUUACUAUGUCUCUAUGUUGCAGUUUCACAGUUUGCUAGUUCAUGUGCCCCUUCAUGAUACUUUUGUUGACCAAGUCAAAGCAUGAUAAUUAUGUUCAAAAAUACAUAAUUCUAAUCAUUUCCCUCGCACGAGACAUGUAAUCAACUCGCAAAGAUAAACACUUCCACAUGCAUGCAGUCUACACAUAUAGCUCUACUAUAUAGAGUGAAAUUUUUAUUAUACAUAAUACAUGCAUUUUAAGUGUUCUAAAAUUCACAUAAAUCCUAUUUAGCAUGGAUUUGAAAUCAUUUUGACGUUACGACAAGCAUAUAACACAUAGGGCCAUUUUGUCCCGGUCUCAUGAAGCCAAGACCACCGAGAUUACCGCAACCUUUCGUUUGCUCCGACGAAGGUGCCCACUAGCCUCCUAGUAUCCUAGAAGCAUCAAAAAGUGAGACCAAAGAAGCAAACAAACAACUAAGGGGUCGAUCAAAAGCCAAC
rnacentral:lncRNA from 1 species